AUGAGACAUCAGGGUUAUCAUGCAAAGCCUAAUGGUCAUGCAAGAAAAACUUCUCUCAGGGGCAGAUGCAGAGCAACCAGGCGAGGAAGAUACACCAAAGCUGCUUUGCAAGAGCUGAGCUACCAACUCGAGAACAAGAUUGAUGACUGGAUGCUAGUCUACUCCUUUCAUGGCACCUAUUACAAGGAUGGUAUCAAGAAGCGUGUCAGGAAAUUGAGCAGAGUGUUCCCAGAUAAGAUCCACUAUCAGAUAGCCAAAGACGUCAAAGGCAUCAAGCUUCAACUCAAGGAGAUCCUAGAUGGAUAUGAAAGACACAAGAUCAAGGAGAUCCUAGAUGGAUAUGAAAGACACAAGACUGAGGCUUGCUCUAGCUCCAGAAGCAUCAAGCUAGACCCAAGAUAUUGUAUGAUCCAUAAAGAUGCAACUGAACUUGUUGGAGUCGAUGGCCCCAGAAAUGAUCUUGUGAACUGGCUGAUCAAGCAGGAGGGUGAAUCGGCUCACCAACAAAAGGUUGUCUCUAUUGUUGGUUGUGCGGGUUUAGGCAAGACAACUAUUGCCAAACAAGUCUAUGACAAGUUUGGAAUCAACUUUGAAUAUCGGGCUUUUGUAUCCGUUACACGAUGCCCCGAUAUCAAAAAGAUUUUGAACUGUAUAUUAUGUCAACUCCACAACCGAGAAUAUUCCUGCAAUGAAACCGAGGAUUCAGAAUAUUCCUGCGAUGAAAUCGAGGAUUCAGAAUAUUCCUGCGAUGAAAUCGAGGAAAUCGAGGAUUCACAAUAUUCCUGCGAUGAAAUCGAGGAAAUCGAGGAUUCAGAAUAUUCCUGCGAUGAAAUCAAGGAAAUCGAGGAUUCAGAAUAUUCCUGCGAUGAGAACCAGUAUUCAGAACUCACCCAUCAAAUUAGAGAAUUCCUACAGGAUAAAAGUUCUGCUCUGUUGUGCUACAUAGUAGAAUUUAGUUUCACGAGACUGCAGUAUAUGUACAGUGAUGUAUUUGAGUGUAUAUCUUCAAACUCAAAACAGCAGCAGACAAGUAGAGACAUGGGCUGUGUAGGUCAGCAAUGUGUAGCGGACCGUGUGAAGGGGCAAUCUAAAGAAUGCUGCCUUUCUAAUGGGAAUCUUGUCUACAAAAUGCAACCACUCAGUAUUGGUGACUCGAGGAAGCUAUUUUUCAAGGGAAUAUUUGGUUGUGAAAAGUGCCCCAGUGACUUCGAAAAAGUCUCGGAUGAUAUUUAAAAAAAAUGUGAGGGUUUACCACUGGCGAUCAAUGCCAUAUCCAGCUUGUUGUCUACUGGGAAAACAAAAGAAGAGUGGUAUCAGGUUCGAAGCUCUAUUUGUUAUGCGCAAGGAAAAAAUUCUGACAUUGAUGCCAUGAAUUACAUAUUAUCUUUGAGUUAUUUGGACCUUCCCCAUCACCUAAGAUAUUGCCUAUUGUAUUUGACUAUGUUUCCUGAAGAUUAUCGGGUUGAAAUGGGGCACUUAGUACACAGCUGGAUUUCUGAGGGUUUGAUUCGUGGUGAAUAUCAGGAAGAUCUUGUGGAAUUAGGAUAUGCAUAUUUAGUAGAGCUUACAAACAGAAGUUUAAUAGAAUCAGUCGGCAUGCAGUAUGAUGGUAAGGCACGGUUCUACCGAGUCCACAGGGUCAUCCUUGAUUUCCUCGUGUCUAGGUCCGCUGAAGAGAAUUUCUGUACCUUGUCAGAUAAUCCCUCAAAGCCAGAUCGAAGAGUUCAUCGGCUCUCUCUGUUUGGAAAUGAAAAUCCAUCAUGCGUCGCACAAUUAGAUUUAUCGCAUGCUCGAUCUCUUGGUGUUUUUGGGCAUUCUGGGCAAUUGCCUUCCUUUGUGAAGUCACAUGCUCUGCGUGUGCUCGACCUACAAGAUUGCCCGGAGUUGGGAAAUCAUCAUGUCAAAGAUAUUGAAAGACAUCCUCUGUUGAGGUAUUUGAACAUCUCUGGAACAGAUAUAACUGAGCUUCCAAUACAAAUUGGAGAUUUGGGGUUCCUAGAAACACUUGAUGCAUCAUUUACGGAAUUUGUUGAGAUGCCUGGAUCCAUUACUCGUCUAAGAAGACUGAAGCGCCUGUUUGUUUCAGAUGAAACUAAAUUGCCUGAUGAGAUUGGAAACAUGUGCUUGCAAGAGCUUGGGGAUAUAAAUGCCUUCAACCAAUCAGUUAACUUUCUGAAUGAGCUUGGCAAACUAAUGGAUCUGCGUAAGCUGAGCAUUAUCUGGGACACCAACGGUAUUCCCAGAUUUGGCAAAAGAAGUUAUAAGGAAAAAAAGUUUGUCUCCUCGCUCUGUAAACUGGAUCAGAUGGGCCUUCGCACCCUCUGUGUUACAUUUUAUUUGAGAGAAAAGGAUGGCUUCAUUGGACAUCCGUUCUUGCCUGCUCUCAAUAGUAUCCGAGAGGUCUAUCUCCGCCGUGGGCGCAUGUGUUGGAUUAACAAAUGGCUGCUUUCACUUGCCAACCUAGAAAAUUUAUAUAUCAGUGGUGGGGAUGAGAUAGAGCAGGAUGAUCUGCGUACAGUUGGAAGCAUACCAACUCUGGUUGAAUUCAAGCUUUACUCUGGAUGCUUAGGGCCUAUCAUCAUAAGUUCAGGAUUUGAACAGUUAGAGAGGCUCGAGUUGAAGUUCAGUUUUUCGCAGCUGACGUUUGAAGUGGGCGCUAUGCCUAACCUGAAGAAACUUGAUCUCCAUGUUUAUUUAUCUAAGUUCAAAUCUGUUGGUGCUGGUUUUGAUUUUGGCAUCCAGCAUCUCUCCAGCCUUGCUUCGGUUUCUAUCGUCAUAUUUUGCGAGGGCGUCAGUGCUGCCUAUGUGGAGGCAGCGGAGGGAGCUUUCAAGAGCAUGGUCAAUGGACACCCGAACCCCAACCGACCCAUAUUGGAAAUGACUAGAGAAUCUGCGGACUUCAUGUCACAGGAUGAGUGACAAAAUGGCGCUGGUCGGUGUUUCGGUGAAUAAUCAUGUACCUGUCUACAUUUCCCUUUCUCAGUUCUCUGCAAUAAUUGGAGCGACCCGUUUCCAUUUUGUUCUAGUAUUCUGUAUUUUCACCCUUGUUUACAGUCUUAAUAAAUCUUGGGUGGUCUGUAACACCUGAUGAAA